UACAGACAGGGCCUCAUUAUGUUGCCCAGGCUGGUUUUGAACUCCUGGGCUCAAGUGAUCCUCCCACGUAGGCCUCCCAAAGUGCUGAGAUUAUAGACAUGAGCCACCACACCUGGCAGGUGUUACCGUGAGAAAAUAUCUUGAACUUCUACUCUGUAUCUCAUCAGAUGAAGGAUAAAUAAACGUGUCUCUCAAAGCCAUCUUUAUUCGAAGAAGUUUCCUUCGCACUACAAAUCUAAAGUUCUUUCUACGAACAUCUUGUAUGAAUUGAUACCUGAUUAAGCGCAUCUAACUACGUAUUUGUAUAUGUGUCUCAUUGCCUCAUAAAAAUCCAGAAGUCUUUAAAUGUGAUUCAAAACCAACAAAAAAUCAAAUAAACAUUUAAAUAAAUUAGUGAGAAAAUGUGAUGUAGCAAGUAAUAAAGAGUAAAAUGUGAACUGCCUAUCUAAAACAGGAUAAAACUGAAAAUGUAUUUAAGAAAAUAAUAUUUUAACAGCUUUUAAGGGAUAGAAAUUUUCUGCUAACUAGAGAUACUUAUAAAUUUAUUUAUUUGUACUCCUAUGAUCCAUAAAACUGAAAUCUGCAUUCCUUAAGCUAAAAAGAGACAAUAGGGCAUUAAAAUGCUA
rnacentral:lncRNA from 10 species